rnacentral:tRNA from 1 species
AUCUUUCUAGUAUGAACAACAGUACAAGUGACUUCCAAUCACUUAGUCUUGGUUAAAGCCCAAGGAAAGAUA